GUAGGUGAACCUGCGGAAGGAUCAUUACAACGUAUCCACGUAUCAACCAAAUGUGAACCUCCCAUCCGGAGCAAAACCAGUGUGUCGCUAAUGGCCGAGCUGUAAAGUGGCGCUUCCACAGAUGGAGAGUUUGGACUAACGUCUGACCUCUUGGAAGUGUCCGUUCGGUCGUCAGUUCGCAAGAACUGAGGCGUCCUUUUGCUUCAGAUGCGGUAUAAAUGUCCGCCCAUCUGCGGUCGCCUAUUGUUUUACCCUUUCAUUAACCCUUUGUAACUUCAAUUGAACUGAACUAAUGUGACACUGGCAGCGGCUGUUCUUGUUGGCUUCGGUCACGAACGGUACUCCAAACGCCGUCUUGUUGCAACAUAUUACGAAAAGCACGAACAACUCUUAACAACGGAUAUCUUGGUUCUC
rnacentral:misc_RNA from 1 species